UAAUACGUAGGUCGCAAGCGUUGUCCGGAUUUACUGGGCGUAAAGAGCGCGCAGGCGGCUGGCCAAGUCCGUUGUGAAAGCUUCCGGCUUAACCGGGAAAUUGCAACGGAAACUGGUCGGCUUGAAGGUGGGAGAGGGUAGCGGAAUUCCCGGUGUAGUGGUGAAAUGCGUAGAUAUCGGGAGGAACACCAGUGGCGAAGGCGGCUACCUGGCCCAUUCUUGACGCUGAGGCGCGAAAGCUAGGGGAGCGAACGGG
rnacentral:rRNA from 1 species